AGGGGCAUAGUUAAACGGUAUAACUACGGUCUCCAAAACCGUCAUUGUGGGUUCGAUUCCUACUGCCCCUGCCA
rnacentral:tRNA from 3 species